CUCUUGAGCAAGCCUUUGUGGUCCAUCUAGUGACAAAAUUCCAACCUUGCUUCUACCUUCAUACUAACUGGGGAGGCCUCACGGUCCCCAGUUAAGUUCAUGGUCUCCAUAUAUUUGGGUAUGAAUGCUGGUAUCCAAACUCAGCAUUUGAGGUCAUGAUAUUGCUGGCUAGGAAUUCUAUGCCAAUUUCUCCUCCCAACAGUAUAAAUCUAUGGUUCUGUGCUAGACUCAACACAUCGCAGGCCCUGACAACAAGAGUUGCCAUCCAUCACAAGCAACCCAAAGUCCUUCAUCAUUCCUUUACUUUGCAUGACUCCUGGAUCUCACACAACUGCUCUUAUUUCUCAGUCUUCCUGAUUCAACACACUCUGCCCUAGACUCUACCUGCAGCCUCUAUCUUUCCCUCGAUCUAGUUCAUGCUACCUGUCAACUCUGCCUUUUUAGGACUAGUUCCCAGAGUCCAAAAGUCUGCAUAGUCCACUGUCCUGUGAACCCAGGGGGCUCUCUGUCUUACACUGUUCCUAUCUGCUUCUGUUGAAAUUUCAGCAAAUCUGAGCAACUUAAGCAAAAGAAAGAUAUUCAUGCCAAAAUGGCAACAUUCAUGCCAACAUUUACAGGCCGAGAAAAUAUCAAAAUUCUGUUUUGUUUGGUAAUUUGAUAGAUACUUGUCAAUCAAAUGGAAAUUGGAUGAGCUAACAAAUAAAGCCCUAGCCAAUGGCUGAGGAUUUCUUCUG
ensembl:antisense Gm43825 predicted gene 43825